GUGGGGUGUAUAUUUUGGGAUUAAUUAAUAUUUAAUGGGGGUGGGACCAUAAGGGAGUAGGUGAAAUCCUGGGUUGAAACCUUGGUUAUGUCUGUUAUUGUGUGACCUGCACGCGUUCCUCAGGGCUAGGCAAUUCUUUCCUAGGACGGGCACGUCCAUCAGAACCUCAGGAUGGGGCCUUGUUUGAAAACACCGUCCUUGCAGAUGUAGUUACGGUGAGGAUGGAGAUGAGGCCAUCCUGGAUUGGGGGUGCCCGAAGUCCAAUGAGCCUGACCUCACAGGACACAGAAGCAAAGAGAAGCCAUGUGAAGACCGACCAAGAGAUGGACUGGUGCCCGCCAAGGGAGGCCAGGAGUGACCGGGCCACCAAAAGCUGGGAAGCGGCAGGUGCCUGUGGCCGGCGCCUUGACUGUGGAUUUCUGGUCCCUAGCGCCGUGUGAGGAUAUAUUUCCGUUGCUUCAAGCCCCUGAGUUUGCACUAAGUUGAUGGGGCAGCCCUAGGAGACUAAUGUAGAUGGGUCAAUCACAUCCCCUACCUUGUAGGGUUGUUGUGAAGAUUAAACUGGCCCAGAUAGCAUUUCAUUAUGGUAUAAUGAAAAUAUAUCCAUAUUAAAAACAAAAACAAAAAACCCCAACUAUGCUAGCCACAGUCUGUCACCAAGCCAUGUAUUUUUUCUUUGCCCACAGUUGUUAAUUCAUCAUGCUUCUUUUCCUGCUAUUUUCUAGCCCACGCCUGCCUUCUCUCAUUUAUCCACUCAGCACGCCCCACCACCAACAAAGCACUCUUCUAGUGCUAGAGUUCUCUUUGGACCACGGAGAUCCCCUGCUCCCCCUUGUACCUUCCAGCAUGUUCUUAGCCCACGUGCAGAGCCCUCUUCUGCAGUUGGAGCCUGCCCCCCGUCUUCCGCACAGAUGCACCUCAAGUUUAAGAUUGUGUAUGAACCUUCCACCAAUGCCGUCCACGACACAUGCAGAGCCAGAAGAUCCAGGGCACGAGGUGAACGUCGAAAGGCGCGGCUCCGCCUCUCAGGGAAGACCGCGGCUUCUCGGGAGCUGGAACAUCCUGCCAGAGACCUUGGCAGCGCCUGCGCGAGCUGCCCCGUGAACGCCAGGA
rnacentral:lncRNA from 1 species